GGGUAGUUUGACUGGGGCGGUCUCCUCCCAAAGUGUAACGGAGGAGCACGAAGGUCAGCUAAUCCUGGUCGGACAUCAGGAGGUUAGUGCAAUGGCAUAAGCUGGCUUGACUGCGAGAGUGACGGCUCGAGCAGGUGCGAAAGCAGGUCAUAGUGAUCCGGUGGUUCUGUAUGGAAGGGCCAUCGCUCAACGGAUAAAAGGUACUCCGGGGAUAACAGGCUGAUACCGCCCAAGAGUUCAUAUCGACGGCGGUGUUUGGCACCUCGAUGUCGGCUCAUCACAUCCUGGGGCUGAAGUAGGUCCCAAGGGUAUGGCUGUUCGCCAUUUAAAGUGGUACGCGAGCUGGGUUUAGAACGUCGUGAGACAGUUCGGUCCCUAUCUGCCGUGGGCGCUGGAGAAUUGAGGGGGGCUGCUCCCAGUACGAGAGGACCGGAGUGGACGCAUCACUGGUGUUCGGGUUGUCAUGCCAAUGGCACUGCCCGGUAGCUAAAUGCGGAAGAGAUAAGUGCUGAAAGCAUCUAAGCACGAAACUUGC
rnacentral:rRNA from 2 species